UAAUGGGUUAUGGGAGAGAUUCCGCGGGCGGGUCUUUUCGCUGCGCGGAACGCCGAAGGGGAAACCCCAAUAAAGUGGGGGAAACUCUCAGGCAAAAGGACUGUAACCCUUGU
rnacentral:ncRNA from 2 species